GACAGAGGUGCCAAGCGUUAGGCGGAAUUACUGGGCUUAAAGGGUGCGUAGGCUGCGCGGAAAGUUGGGUGUGAAAUCCCUCGGCUCAACCGAGGAACUGCGCUCAAAACUACCGUGCUCGAGGGAGACAGAGGUGAGCGGAACUUAGGGUGGAGCGGUGAAAUGCGUUGAUAUCCUAAGGAACACCCGUGGCGAAAGCGGCUCACUGGGUCUCUUCUGACGCUGAGACGCGAAAGCUAGGGGAGCGAACGGG
rnacentral:rRNA from 1 species